UACAUGGGGUGCAAACGUUGCUCGGAAUUAUUGGGCGUAAAGCGCACGUAGGUGGCUUGUUAUGUCGGGUGUGAAAUCCCGGGGCUCAACCCCGGGACUGCAUUCGAUACUGUCAGGCUAGAGGUAGGUAGGGGAGAUCGGAAUUCCUGGUGUAGCGGUGAAAUGCGCAGAUAUCAGGAGGAACACCGGUGGCGAAGGCGGAUCUCUGGGCCUUACCUGACGCUCAGGCGCGAAAGCUAGGGGAGCGAACAGG
rnacentral:rRNA from 1 species